UAGUGGCGAACGGGUGAGUAACACGUGGGCAAUCUGCCCUUCACUCUGGGACAAGCCCUGGAAACGGGGUCUAAUACCGGAUACCACUCUCGCAGGCAUCUGUGAGGGUUGAAAGCUCCGGCGGUGAAGGAUGAGCCCGCGGCCUAUCAGCUUGUUGGUGAGGUAAUGGCUCACCAAGGCGACGACGGGUAGCCGGCCUGAGAGGGCGACCGGCCACACUGGGACUGAGACACGGCCCAGACUCCUACGGGAGGCAGCAGUGGGGAAUAUUGCACAAUGGGCGAAAGCCUGAUGCAGCGACGCCGCGUGAGGGAUGACGGCCUUCGGGUUGUAAACCUCUUUCAGCAGGGAAGAAGCGAAAGUGACGGUACCUGCAGAAGAAGCGCCGG
rnacentral:rRNA from 1 species